rnacentral:lncRNA from 1 species
AGAUGACAAAAGGAAAGAAGGCCAAGGGAAAGAAGGUGGGACUGACCCCUGGUGUCACGAAGAAGCAGGAGGCCAAGAAGGUGGUAAAUUCCGUGUUUGAGAAAAGUCUUAAGAAUUUUGCCAUUGGACAGCACAUCCAAACCAAACAAGACCUCACCUACUUUAUACAUCCAGUUGCAGCAGCAAUGAUCUAUCCUCUGUAAACGUGGGAAAGUGCCUCCUGCAAUUAACCUGUUCACCCAGGCCUUCGACCAGCUGUCAUUCUGCUGCUUAAGCUGGCCCACAAGUACAGACCAGAAACAAAGUGCUGGAAGAAGCAGAGACUGUUGGCCUGGGCUGAGAAGAAAGUUGCUGGCAAAGAGGAUGUCCCCACUAAGAGAUCACUUGUCCUUUGAGCAGGGGUUAACUGUCACCACCUUGGUAGAGACCAAGAAGUUUCAGCUUGUGAUGAUUGCACAUGACACAGAUCCCAUCGAGCCAGUUGUUUUCCUCUCUGCCUUGUGUUGUAAAAUGGGGGUCCAUUACCAAACUAUCACAGGGAAGGCAAGACUGUGACAUCUAAUGCACAGGAAGACCUGCACCACUGUCAUCUUCACAUAGGUUAACUGAAAAGAAAAAGGAGCUUUGGCUAAGCUAAUGGAAGCUAUCAGGACCAAUUACAAUGACAGAUAUGAUGAAAUCUGCCAUCACAGCGGAGGCAAGGUCCCGAGCUCUAAAUCUGUGGCCCACACUGGUGCUGGAAAAGGCAAGGACUAAAAAAAUUUGCCACUACAAAC